GUUUCCUGGAGGGGGCGUGGUCAGUCACCUUCAAGCAAUCAAUGUUGGACACCCCCGUUGGUUACAUUUAUUUAUUUACUUACAGGGGCAUACCCUCACACCAGUGACCCCGCUACCCCCUAGUAUCCAAGCCCAAUCCCAAUCCCCGCCCCUGUCAGUGUAUGCACCCACGCAUCCAAGCACCCUCUCUACAGAGUAUGCAGCCGCGCAACCACCCCACCUCCACCCCUGUCAGUGUAUUGUGCCGCGCAAUCCGCUACUGCUGGGCAAACUCACCAUCUCAGGCCAUGCCCAUCUCAGAUAGUCCAGCCUGAGCUGACAUGAUACAUGCUGAGAGGUCGCUGCCUGCCUGGGAAAAGAGCGAUCCCGUCUGCUGCCUCGGUCCGCCCACAGCCCAGUCAGGACUUUCUUAUCACUGUGAUGGGCUGCUUCCUGUGUCUAACCGGACAUCCGGAGCUUGGGACCAAUCCACUACCAAACCAUCUGUGGUACCAGGAAUCUCCCAGGGUGAUAUAUCGAUGCUGCUGUGUCUUAUGGAGCUUACGGUGAUAUUUGUGUGUUUUGUUAAUUGAUAACAAAGGCUCUUCAACACAGGUGAGGGCAAUCUUAAAAUAAGAGAGAAGUCCAGGAACAGAGCAGUUGGUCCCUCUAUGCUAGGACCGGCUAAACUGAA